rnacentral:lncRNA from 1 species
UAAUAAUAAAAUUUUCAUAAAAUUAUUUGUCUUAGACUUUCUAAUGAGUAUAUAUAUUCUCAAAACAAAAUUUCUAUCACUAAAAUUGGGUCGUAACAACAUGUUUCUAAUAUAGACUGAUACGCUUGUAGAGAGAGUUAAAAAUAACCUAAUUAUCGAAAUAACUAUGGUCGAAUACCCUAGGGUUAGUCAAAGUUUGGAGAAUGCUAAUCAAAAUAACUAGUUUUGUAGGUCCUGCUGAAAAAACAAGUUUUGAACGCUCUGUUGUCAACUUAGGCCACGCUCUUUCGGAUCCUGUUAACCUACUACCAAUCAUAAACCGUAAACUACUCUCUCUAGUCAUGCAUUUGAGACGUUGACGGUGACUUAUUGAUAUAGAAUUACAUUUGCGCUAACCUAGUCGGCACCAGCUCUGAUAAUACCGA